rnacentral:rRNA from 1 species
GUGAACGUUACAAACUGUUGCCUCGGCGGGAUCUCUGCCCCGGGUGCGUCGCAGCCCCGGACCAAGGCGCCCGCCGGAGGACCAACCAAAACUCUUAUUGUAUACCCCCUCGCGGGUUUUUUUAUAAUCUGAGCCUUCUCGGCGCCCCUCGUGGGCGUUUCGAAAAUGAAUCAAAACUUUCAACAACGGAUCUCUUGGUUCUGGCAUCGAUGAAGAACGCAGCGAAAUGCGAUAAGUAAUGUGAAUUGCAGAAUUCAGUGAAUCAUCGAAUCUUUGAACGCACAUUGCGCCCGCCAGUAUUCUGGCGGGCAUGCCUGUCCGAGCGUCAUUUCAACCCUCGAACCCCUCCGGGGGGUCGGCGUUGGGGAUCGGCCCUCCCUCUGCGGGGGCCGUCUCCGAAAUACAGUGGCGGUCUCGCCGCAGCCUCUCCUGCGCAGUAGUUUGCACACUCGCACCGGGAGCGCGGCGCGUCCACAGCCGUUAAACACCCAACUUUCUGAAAUGUUGACCUCGGAUCAGGUAGGAAUACCCGCUGAACUUAAGCAUAUCAAUAAGCGG